AUUAAACGCUGGCGGAAUGCUUUACACAUGCAAGUCGAACGGCAGCACGGACUUCGGUCUGGUGGCGAGUGGCGAACGGGUGAGUAACAUAUCGGAACGUAUCCAAUAAUGGGGGAUAACGAGUCGAAAGAUUCGCUAAUACCGCAUACGCCCUACGGGGGAAAGCUGGGGACCUUCGGGCCUGGCGUUAAUGGAGCGGCCGAUAUCUGAUUAGCUAGUUGGUGAGGUAAAGGCUCACCAAGGCGACGAUCGGUAGCUGGUCUGAGAGGACGACCAGCCACACUGGAACUGAGACACGGUCCAGACUCCUACGGGAGGCAGCAGUGGGGAAUUUUGGACAAUGGGCGCAAGCCUGAUCCAGCCAUUCCGCGUGAGUGAAGAAGGCCUUCGGGUUGUAAAGCUCUUUCGCAAGGGAAGAAAACUUAGCCACUAACAUUGGUUGAGGUUGACGGUACCUUGAUAAGAAGCACCGGCUAACUACGUGCCAGCAGCCGCCGUAA
rnacentral:rRNA from 1 species